GCGCCCGUAGCUCAGUGGAUAGAGCGCUGGCCUCCGGAGCCAGGUGCGCAGGUUCGACUCCUGCCGGGCGCACCA
rnacentral:tRNA from 2 species